rnacentral:misc_RNA from 1 species
AAGUCGUAACAAGGUUUCCGUAGGUGAACCUGCGGAAGGAUCAUUAACACGUAUCCAACGUUAAACAACCCUGUGAACUUUCAGACGCUCUUGUAGCCCAGGAGGAACAGCAAUCCCGGUAAAUCAAUGGCGGAAAGUUUUUGAUUCGGGACCUCUGUCCAAAAGGUAUCAAGUUACAAUCGAGCUAGGAGCAGUGGCAUGGUUUCCCUAAGCAGUGCAGAAGGAUCCACUGAGUAAGUAUAACGCAUCACGGCUGCGAGGUCGAUCACUGGCAGGGCUUUACAUUCACCCCUUGCCUAAUCAAGCCCCGGGGAAACGCCGGGCAAAAAAAUCUGAACAACUGUUAACAAUGGAUAUUUUGGUUCUC